rnacentral:rRNA from 1 species
AGCGAACGCUGGCGGCAGGCUUAACACAUGCAAGUCGAGCGGGCAUCCUUGUGGUGUCAGCGGCAGACGGGUGAGUAACGCGUGGGAACGUGCCCUUCGGUUCGGAAUAACUCAGGGAAACUUGAGCUAAUACCGGAUACGUGCGAGAGCAGAAAGGUUUAUCUGCCGAAGGAUCGGCCCGCGUCUGAUUAGCUAGUUGGUGAGGUUAUGGCUCACCAAGGCGACGAUCAGUAGCUGGUCUGAGAGGAUGAUCAGCCACACUGGGACUGAGACACGGCCCAGACUCCUACGGGAGGCAGCAGUGGGGAAUAUCGGACAAUGGGGCAACCCUGAUCCAGCCAUGCCGCGUGAGUGAUGACGGCCUUAGGGUUGUAAAGCUCUUUUCUCCGGGACGAUAAUGACGGUACCGGAGGAAUAAGCCCCGGCUAACUUCGUG